rnacentral:rRNA from 1 species
GAUGAACGCUAGCGGCAGGCCUAACACAUGCAAGUCGAGGGGCAGCGGGAAAAAGCUUGCUUUUUUGCCGGCGACCGGCGGACGGGUGAGUAACGCGUAGGUAUCUAUCCAUGGGUGGGGGAUAACAGUGGGAAACUGCUGCUAAUACCGCAUGACACCUGAGGGUCAAAGGCGCAAGUCGCCUGUGGAGGAGCCUUCGUCCGAUUAGCUAGUUGGUGGGGUAAAGGCCUACCAAGGCGACGAUCGGUAGCUGGUCUGAGAGGAUGAUCAGCCACACUGGGACUGAGACACGGCCCAGACUCCUACGGGAGGCAGCAGUGGGGAAUAUUGGACAAUGGGCGCAAGCCUGAUCCAGCAAUGCCGCGUGGAUGAAGAAGGUCUUCGGAUUGUAAAGUCCUUUCGUACGGGGACGAUGAUGACGGUACCCGUACGAAGAAGCCCCGGCUAACUUCGUG